AGGUUUUUAAGCUCGUUCAAGAAUUUGGAUACUGGCCUAACUAAUAUCAUCACUAAACAUGAUUUUAGCAGUGAUAUGUUGCAAGUGGAAGCAGCAGUACAUGUAGUAAACAAAAAAAUGACAUAUCAUUAGAAAAUGAUAUAAAAGAAGCGAGUGAGAUAUAUCUCAAUGAACCGAUGGAAGUAGAUUUUCUCGACUCUUUAUUAGAUGACCAAAAAAGGUUAUUUUAACAGAUGAAUACAG